AGUGAACGCUGGCGGUAGGCCUAACACAUGCAAGUCGAACGGCAGCACAGUAAGAGCUUGCUCUUACGGGUGGCGAGUGGCGGACGGGUGAGGAAUACAUCGGAAUCUACUUUUUCGUGGGGGAUAACGUAGGGAAACUUACGCUAAUACCGCAUACGACCUACGGGUGAAAGCAGGGGAUCUUCGGACCUUGCGCGAUUGAAUGAGCCGAUGUCGGAUUAGCUAGUUGGCGGGGUAAAGGCCCACCAAGGCGACGAUCCGUAGCUGGUCUGAGGGGAUGAUCAGCCACACUGGAACUGAGACACGGUCCAGACUCCUACGGGAGGCAGCAGUGGGGAAUAUUGGACAAUGGGCGCAAGCCUGAUCCAGCCAUACCGCGUGGGUGAAGAAGGCCUUCGGGUUGUAAAGCUCUUUUGUUGGGAAAGAAAAGCAGCAGGUUAAUACCCCGCUGUUCUGACGGUACCCAAAGAAUAAGCACCGGCUAACUUCGUG
rnacentral:rRNA from 1 species